AACGCACAUUGCGCCCGCCAGUAUUCUGGCGGGCAUGCCUGUUCGAGCGUCAUUUCAACCAUCAAGCCCCAGGCUUGUGUUGGGGACCUGCGGCUGCCGCAGGCCCUGAAAAACAGUGGCGGGCUCGCUAGUCACACCGAGCGUAGUAGCAUACACAUCGCUUAGGACGUGCUGCGGGUUCCGGCCGUUAAACCCCCCACUAUAUCAAGGUUGACCUCGGAUCAGGUAGGAAGACCCGCUGAACUUAA
rnacentral:misc_RNA from 1 species